rnacentral:rRNA from 1 species
CAGUAGCCGCGGUAAUACGUAGGUGGCAAGCGUUGUUCGGAAUUAUUGGGCGUAAAGGGCUCGCAGGCGGUUUCUUAAGUCUGAUGUGAAAGCCCCCGGCUCAACCGGGGAGGGUCAUUGGAAACUGGGAAACUUGAGUGCAGAAGAGGAGAGUGGAAUUCCACGUGUAGCGGUGAAAUGCGUAGAGAUGUGGAGGAACACCAGUGGCGAAGGCGACUCUCUGGUUUGUAACUGACGCUGAGGAGCGAAAGCGUGGGGAGCGAACAGGAUUAGAUACCCGCGUAGUCCCUGUCUCUUAUAC